rnacentral:lncRNA from 1 species
AGGAUCAAAUGAGACGACGUGAGUUUGGCAGGGCUACAUGCUUAGACACCUCCCGUGCCCGGCUCAGUUGGCUGGCAACAGCUUAAAGGACCGCACUUCUCAGAUUAAACCCCAGAGAAUGCCACCUUAAAAUCGUCCUAGUGGAUGGAAGUCGUUGACUCCGGUCCUUAUCCAUCCCAGUGUCCAGACAACUUGCACUACCAUUUCAUCUGCACAAACAGCUCAUCGUCGGCAUUUCUAGUUUUAGAAAACAAUUAGUAGACAAUUGCCAAGAAUUACGAUUUACAGAACUAUUCACCAAGACGCUUUCCUGUUCUCGGCUUUCU